UUCAAGGGCCAUACCACCCUUAAUGUGCCUUGUCUUGUCUGAUCCCAGAAGCUAAACUGGGUCAGGCCUGCUUAGUUCUUGAAUGGGAGGCCUCUUGAGAAUACCUGGUGCUGUAAGCU
rfam:Mesocricetus auratus contig094274, whole genome shotgun sequence.